rnacentral:lncRNA from 1 species
GUUCUGCAGCGAAUUGGGAUCCUCCGUGGGGCCGCGUCUGUGCAGCCCCCACGCCCUCCCGCUGGGGGCGUGUUCUCGGGCAUUUACUCAAGAGCUGCUUUUCCAGCUUUCGCCCCCUUUCCCUUGAGUGGCCGGUGCUGAUAAGAGAAUGGCCGCCUUUCACACUAACGGGUGCUCAUCCUCACUUCGGAAAACGGCUUCCUCUGAGUCAUUCUCUGAGCUGUUAAGUGUGUCGGCUGUAGGCGCUGGAUUUAGGUUUGCAGGUGAUUUUCUAAUCGUCAUGUGGAAACUUGGGGCAGGCAGCGGCCGCAUGGCAUAGAGCCCAGACGCACAGACGUCUGCCGGAGGAUGCCCCAGGGCUGCUGCCCACGCUGUGGCUGAGGGCUGGGCCCUAGGGGACCCGGGGCUCCACCAGGCCCGCCUCCAUCUCCUCCUCCGCUCAGAAGGCAUGCUUCUCACUGGCCCGGCAGCACCUCUGCUUCCGUUCACACAGCAGGAUGGGUUCCCAGAGCCUUACCCAUGUCUGCAUCACUCUCGGCCACUUUGGGGCGGUACAGGGAUCUGGUGAGGCUGGAGUAAAGUGGUUCCUCACCAAGUCGAGGGGAGCUGGUUACCUGCGGCCUUCGUGCCAGGUAAGCCAUCAGCUGCCUCCGAGUGCAGGUCCUGGGUGUCCAUCCGCAGGAAACGAGAAGCCCCGAGUGAGGCGUCCUCUGCCUUCUGCUCCAGGGGCUCUGAACCCAGCUCAAGGGGCUCCUGAGCAUUUGUGGUGCCCUUUCCUCCUCCCUCGGGCAUCCCUGAUCAGCUGGCAGGAGACCAACCUCAGGGCCUUGUGGCCUGCAAGGCUGCUCCUGUGACUGACAGCCAGAAAGACCUAACUGCGCAGCCGGGACCACUUGCAGAGAGCACAGCAGGAUCAAAAUAGGGUUGGCACGUGAAACCCCCUAAUUCACAGGCAGGUUGCUCUAGCUGAAUGGAAGGGGUACACGUUCAACCCACCUUCGCUGAGCAGUGGUGACAGCUCAGCCCGCUUGGUUUCCACACAAUCUCUUUAGGAGAAUGGGCUCCAGACCUUAGUCAGGGACAAUUCUUUUUGUUACAGGUUUGCGAACUCAUUCAUUUAUGCAGCAUGUUUGCUUCGGGUUUACAAAGUGCUGGGUAUGGAGGAGCGGGCCGUGCUGUGGCGGGCAAAAUCCUCCUGUGGAGUUUAAAUCCUAGUGGGAGGAGACAGAAAAUAACUAGUGUGAUAACUGUCUCAGAGAAGACAGGAAAGGACAAAGGAGGGAGAAUGCGGAGGUGGUGGCAGGGCUACUGUUUUAGAUAGGGUGAGCUCACCUGGGAAUCAGGAAUCCAGUCCCCUCCCAGGACACUGGCUCCUUAAACCAAGCCUGGCAGUGCUGGCCCUGGCCACGCCCUCUACCCACCCAGCCGGACCUUGAUUGCUCUGGGGCCAGGCUGCCGGAAGCUCCAAGAUGGAACAAGCCCUUUUGCACCGCCUAGAACAGGCGCCACCUAGUGGUCGUGAAUGGAAUCCACUUGUGUUUCCAGUCACAUCCCCCUGCCGUUGGGCUUCAAUGACCUUGGAAGGUCGAUGUUCCUGAUUCCAGACGCAGUGUUCCCAAUGCGGUGUUGGGGACCAGGGCUGUGGUUUGACAACUGACGGACUGCAUCCUGUUUCCUACAGUCGUCAGAAUGUAUCCGUAUGGAUCUCUUCCUUCCCUCUGCCUGGCCUAACACCUCCCGACCGGGUAAGCCGUCAUUGAUCUUCAGGGCCUCUGCAACUGUCGGCAACGCAGUCAGUCACGGCCGUGUCCAAAGACACCCCCGCCCCAUUCACUCAUUCGUGUGGCCCCGGCACCUUGCUAGGCUGGAUGCACGCUGCCGAGACAGGAGGGGAGAGGACUUGAAAGAACGAGGGGACAUCACUCCCCAAAUUGUCACCUUGUGUGUUUGCCACCUCGUGUCGUUCCAAGAGCUACCGCGCCCCACUGACUUGGACUGUCCUGUGAGCCUGUGGUCUCUCCUUGGACCGAAGGAUAACUGUGGGGCACAGCUCGGAGUUUCCUGCCUUUCUUCUACGCAGCGUAAAAAGCAGAAAUACAAACCGACCUCGGAGCCGAGCUUUGGUGCUGCCUUUACCUUAUUACACACUUUAUGGUGGAAAAAAAUUAAUUGCUGCUGAGCAGGAAAUGGAACCGGUGCCCCAGGGCGGGCAGACCCAGCAGAGGGUGCCCGACACAGUCACGGCCGGCAGGAGGGGCGGUGGCAGAGAGUGUGAGCGUGUGGUGAGCCCCAGCCGGGCGCUGCGUGUAACUCGCUGUGUGUGACCACAGCUGGGCGUCGUCACACGGGGGCAGCGUGGCUGCACGACGUGAUGCCCGUCCUGGUGCGAAACGGGACACUAAACACCACGGUAGUGGUGGCGCCCAGAACCCCAGCAUUAGAUCCGGGUGACCCGACUUGAGAGCAGCAGCCUUUAGCGGCCGCAUCAGGUAGCAGAGCUGAGGUUUUGAGUGAAGUGGGUACAAGAACAAGAGGCCUGGGAAACGCUUCCUCAGGGCUCCCGACGAGGCCCUGAAGGGACUCGGCAGUGGGACGCCGCCCGUCCUCCCGUCCUCCCCUCCCCGUGUCCCGCUGCACUUUUCUGGGCCUGCGUUCUCUCUGUUUGUCUUGGUGAAAGAUUUCUCCAAAACUUAUUUUUCCUAAUGCUCAUUUCUUCAAGGCUCCCAUUGUGCCCUCUGCACCCUCUGGAUUUGUAUCUCAGCUCUGCCGCCUGUUGGCUGUGUGACCUUGUCCACGUUACUUAACCUCUCUGUACCCCAGUUCUCCCCUGUGGUAAAUAAAGAUAAAGACAGUACCUGCUGGAUAGGGUCGUUGUGAGAAUUCAAUGAGCUCACACACGGAAAACUGCCUGGAACGUCCCUUGGGCUCCAUCCAUGCUCGCUGUCUCCACCGCCAGCACCACCAGCACUGCCAGCGCCAUCUCUCACUCCUUGAGACUGGAAAGAGAGAAGUUACAUCCAAGCUACAUUUUAAAAGUGGGUUCACACUCUGCUGGUUUCUCCCACUUCAACGAAACAGAAAAUCCCUUCGUUACAGUUUUUCUAGUGGAACGCGUUCUGGGAACAGAGGCGUUAGAGCCUGAGGAGGGAACCAGAGCCGCGGGGCCUCGCGGGAGACCGGGUUCUCCCCCAGGGCUCGUGAGAAGCCGCUGUCCUCUGCGCUGUCGACACCACCGUUGGACACGAUUCCCCACUAGGAUGGCAGCGUGAGAGCCGCGAGGGCGGCGAGGAUGCGGAGACACGCCCGUAGGGGUGGGAAGGGCACGGCUCCUCUGGCAAAGCGUGUUGGUGCCUCGGCGGGUCAAACUUAGAAUUGCUGGAUGACCCGGCAACGCCACUGCAAGAGCAAUGAAAGUGUGCGGCCACGCGAACACGCGUGCCCAGAAGCUCAGAGCGGCGAUAGUCACAAUCGCCAGAAGGCGCAGACGCCCCUGACGGCCGUGUCACUGAGGAGUGGCUACGCCGGCUGCGACACGCACACACCGGCAGCUUUUGCCAUAAAGAGAAGCACCGAGGCGUGUGCCGCAGCAGGGAUGAACACGCGUCGGGUGACAGCAGCCAGUCACCGUGUGUGGCAUGAUUCUAGUUCCAGGAAACGUCCAGAGUAAGCAAAGCCACGGGCCUGCAGGCGACAGGCCGCCUGGGCUCCGAGGCCUGCGGAGGCGGUGGGGAGGACGGCUCAUGGGGACACGGUUUCUUCGGGGACGAUGAGUGUGUUCUAAAGUUGAGUCUGGUGACGGGGGCCCACCAGCUCCGUGAAAGCGCUCGACGUCGCUGAAUUGCCCACGUUACGUGGUACGUUGUGCAGGGUGUGAAUUAUGUCUCAAGAAACAUUUAGUGAAAGAGACGCAGGACUGUGUUCUUCACAGACGUCCCUGCCACGAAGGGCCGAGGAGUCCGGGGCUGCGUCCCGGCCUGGAGGGCGCGGAAGCUCCGUGGGACGCGGAGCCCCCGAACCCAGCCUGGACCCGGGGCCAGAGGAGGGGAUCCUAGAGGACAUCGCUGGGUCAGCGGACGAAACGGAAGCGCGAACCACAAUAAAUGAAAGUAUUGUGUCAGCGAACACGCCCAAGGUUUGUAGCUGCACUGUUAGGUGCGAGAGAAAUCCCUCUUCUUAGGAAGAAUGCGCGGCGAGAUCCUAGUGGGAAAGCGUCACAGCGUAUGUGUGACUUAUCCUCAGGUGGGUCCGAAGACAGUGUUUGGGGGGGUGUGCCCGUGUGUGUGUGUGUGUGUGUGUGUGUGUGUCUGUGCUGGAGGACAGCGAAUGCCGUGGCUCUGGCGUGAAAGGCGAAGGCUCUGGUUGGAGGACAUGCAGGUGUUCUUGGUAUUGUUUUUGGUUUUGCAAUCUUUCCUAAGUUUGCAAUUGUUUGAAAAUAAAACCUUUCAGAAACAACCACAGUGACGUGUCUGCUCGGGCGGUGCAGAGCUGUGUGAAAACAGGCCCGCAAGUGCCGUGCGCGGGGUGGGGGGUGGGGGGGUGGCUGCCCGCACACCUGAGUGUACAGUCCCUGGCCUUUCUGUGCCCAGGGCCCGCAAGCCCGGAGCUGCUCAGAGAGGGCCACUGACGCGUCACUGUCACACCCACGCAGCAUGGGUAGCUACCAGCAUACGGAGGCGGGGGCGGCCUCCGUGCUCCUGAGAUAGACAGGUGGCCAGGGUGCCCUGAGCUCCUGGCAGCCUUCUCACCUCUGGCUGGGUGUGACAGCUGAGGCCGUGCGGCCUCCUGAGGAGCUUGGCAUCUCCCAGGCCAGCUCCAACCGAAGGGCUCUCCCGGGGCCUCUGGAGGGCCGCCCCUUCUCCAGCUCCUUGCUCGGGGUGAACAGGGAAAGGGAAGGGGGCAGGGGUCGGUCCCCUGCGGGCGCAGUCUGCGGGGGGCCUGUGCUCCGCUGUCUCUCGCUGAAACCACACGAAGCCCGGCCAGACGGAGAAGCCGAGGCGCAGAGCCCUCGGCGCAGAGCCCUCGGCGGAGGCCUCCCAGCAGGCAAGCCUCUUCCGCCAGACGCUCUUGCUUGAGAUCCUGAGACCGGUCCCUCUCCCUCCCCUUUUCUACUGUCCGGUUGGAGGUCACGGCCCAUCCUCAUCAGGAGAUGAAACAAAAUCUUCGUUGACAGGAAUGGAUCCAAAAGACUGAGCCCACUUUGGAAAACAGUGGCGAGGCUGCCAUGAGCCCAGUUUUAUGAGGCUGUGAUGUUGGCACUGCCCUGAAGGAAGGCAAUAGACCUAACUCUUGCCUCCGUACUAACCUGCCAGAGCAGACAGUCUUCAGGGCUGGGUGCCAACCUGCACGCACUGUGUUGCCAGAGACCUUGGUGUACACGUGACAGCUGCUGUGGACAGUUUGGAGACACUUCCUGCGGAGGGCUUUGCGGUUGUGGGAGGCCCCAGGGCAGGAAGCAGACCUGCCGCCACAAGGACCGGGUGGCGAGGAGGGGACCAGGCAGUGGUCAUGACUUCAGGGUGGGCCCAAGGGCAAAGUCAGAGCCAAGGACGCAUGGGCGGGAAGACAGGUGACAAUUCCUGGGCUCUCUGCCUUUUCUCUUCUGCUCUUCUCUAUUUCUCUGGCUGCCAGUCCCAGCACUCAUCUGUAACCCGUUCACAAAGGCCUUUCUUGUUACCUGAAGACCCAAAAGAAAGAAGAGAAGCUAAAGGACCAGAUUGUCAGCCGGGAGCUGCUAAUGGCCAGAGGAUUCCAGGAGCCUGCCUCCAGCGACAUAGGCUCCGAGCUGAAACACAGCGAUCGUGUUGCUUGAACCCCGAUUCAGCCAUGCCUGAAGUCCCUGCACUUUUAAAUUAAGGGGACAACACAGGUUUCCUUUUUUAAAAAAUCAAGGUAUAGUUGAUUUACAAUAUUGUGUUAGUUUCAGGAGCAAAAAGUUUUCACUGUUGCUGAAGGAAUCUCCAACUGGCUUUCCUGUCACUUAGAAUGAGGACAACACGAAUAAAAUUCUAACUGAAAG